GACGAACGCUGGCGGCGUGCCUAAUACAUGCAAGUAGAACGCUGAAGCUUGGUGCUUGCACCGAGCGGAUGAGUUGCGAACGGGUGAGUAACGCGUAGGUAACCUGCCUGGUAGCGGGGGAUAACUAUUGGAAACGAUAGCUAAUACCGCAUAAAAUGGAUUAUCGCAUGAUAAUCCAUUGAAAGGUGCAAAUGCAUCACUACCAGAUGGACCUGCGUUGUAUUAGCUAGUUGGUGGGGUAACGGCUCACCAAGGCGACGAUACAUAGCCGACCUGAGAGGGUGAUCGGCCACACUGGGACUGAGACACGGCCCAGACUCCUACGGGAGGCAGCAGUAGGGAAUCUUCGGCAAUGGACGGAAGUCUGACCGAGCAACGCCGCGUGAGUGAAGAAGGUUUUCGGAUCGUAAAGCUCUGUUGUAAGAGAAGAACGAGUGUGAGAGUGGAAAGUUCACACUGUGACGGUAUCUUACCAGAAAGGGACGGCUAACUACGUGCCAGCAGCCGCGGUAAUACGUAGGUCCCGAGCGUUGUCCGGAUUUAUUGGGCGUAAAGCGAGCGCAGGCGGUUAGAUAAGUCUGAAGUUAAAGGCUGUGGCUUAACCAUAGUACGCUUUGGAAACUGCUUAACUUGAGUGCAAGAGGGGAGAGUGGAAUUCCAUGUGUAGCGGUGAAAUGCGUAGAUAUAUGGAGGAACACCGGUGGCGAAAGCGGCUCUCUGGCUUGUAACUGACGCUGAGGCUCGAAAGCGUGGGGAGCAAACAGG
rnacentral:rRNA from 1 species